rnacentral:rRNA from 1 species
AAGAGAUGGCGACCGGCGCACGGGUGAGUAACACGUAUCCAACCUGCCGAUAACUCCGGAAUAGCCUUUCGAAAGAAAGAUUAACACCGGAUGGCAUACGAAUAUCGCAUGAUAUUUUUAUUAAAGAAUUUCGGUUAUCGAUGGGGAUGCGUUCCAUUAGUUUGUUGGCGGGGUAACGGCCCACCAAGACUACGAUGGAUAGGGGUUCUGAGAGGAAGGUCCCCCACAUUGGAACUGAGACACGGUCCAA